rnacentral:rRNA from 1 species
UACAGAGGGUGCAAGCGUUAAUCGGAAUUACUGGGCGUAAAGCGUGCGUAGACGGUUACAUAAGUCGGGUGUGAAAGCCCCGGGCUCAACCUGGGAAUUGCAUUCGAGACUGCGUAGCUAGGGUGCGGAAGAGGGAAGCGGAAUUUCCGGUGUAGCGGUGAAAUGCGUAGAUAUCGGAAGGAACACCAGUGGCGAAAGCGGCUUCCUGGUCUAGCACCGACGUUCAGGCACGAAAGCGUGGGGAGCAAACAGG